rnacentral:lncRNA from 1 species
GGGUAAUGAGAAGUUCCCCGUUAACUUGAGAGGAUACCAACAUUUAAAGUUAUGCCUUUGCCAGAGAGGCCAAACAGUCCAUUUCAAGCCUUUGUAUGGAAAAAAAACCAAAACAAAAACCCCACCACAAACCUCUGAUAUGCAACAUACUCCAGACUUAUUUGCAAAUACGCAUAAGAUGUAUGGAGAACUGAGGAUCCUUCCCUUCCUGAGCAAUGACUGAAAUGGCUGCCCCAUAAACCUUACCUUUUUUCAUACGGUGGCUCAGCUUCAGCAGAAGUGAAGAAAGUAUUCUGCCCAGCCUAGCAUUAGCCUGGUGGUUAGGGCACACUCCUGGGAGGUAAGAAAUGGAAGUUUGAAUUGCCUCAGGUUGGGGGAAGGACUGUAAUCUAAGUGUCUAAUUUCUCUUGAAGAUA